CCAAUAGCGUAUAUUAAAGUUGUUGCAGUUAAAAAGCUCGUAGUUGAACCUCGGGAUCAAUGGAUCGGUCAUGCCAUCGGUAUGUACUGGUCUCAUUGGUUCUCACCUUCUAAGGAACCAUGAUGUCAUUCAGUUGAUGUUGUGGGGAAUUAGGACUGUUACCUUGAAAAAAUUAGAGUGUUUAAAGCAGGCUAACGCUUGAAUACAUUAGCAUGGAAUAAUGAAAUAGGACAUCGCAUUCUAUUUUGUUGGUUUCUAGGAUCGAUGUAAUGAUUAAUAGGGAUAGUUGGGGGCAUUAGUAUUCAAUUGUCAGAGGUGAAAUUCUUGGAUUUAUUGAAGACUAACUACUGCGAAAGCAUUUGCCAAGGAUGUUUUCAUUAAUCAAGAACGAAAGUUAGGGGAUCGAAGACGAUCAGAUACCGUCGUAGUCUUAACCAUAAACUAUGCCGACUAGGGAUCGGAUGAUGUUGAUUUUUUAAUGACUCAUUCGGCGCCUUACG
rnacentral:rRNA from 1 species